rnacentral:rRNA from 1 species
GACGAACGCUGGCGGCGUGCCUAAUACAUGCAAGUAGAACGCUGAAGAAAGGAGCUUGCUUCUCUUGGAUGAGUUUCGAACGGGUGAGUAACGCGUAGGUAACCUGCCUUGUAGCGGGGGAUAACUAUUGGAAACGAUAGCUAAUACCGCAUAACAGCUUUUUACACAUGUUAGAAGCUUGAAAGAUGCACGUGCAUCACUACGAUGUGGAACUUCGUUGUAUUAGCUAGUAGGUAGGGUAACGGCCUACCUGGGCGACGAUACAUAGCCCACCUGAGAGGGUGAUCGGCGACACUGGGACUGAGACACGGCCCAGACUCAUACGGGAGGCAGCAGUAGGGAAUCUUCGGCAAUGGGGGAAACCCUGACCGAGCAACGCCGCGUGAGUGAAGAAGGUUUUCGGAUAGUAAAGCUCUGUUGUAAGAGAAGAACGUGUGUGAGAGUGGAAAGUUCACACAGUGACUGUAACUUACCAGAAAGGGACGGCUAACUACGUGCCAGCAGCCGCAGUAA